rnacentral:rRNA from 1 species
AUUGAACGCUAGCGGGAUGCUUUACACAUGCAAGUCGAACGAGUGGCGGACGGGUGAGUGAUAUAUCGGAACAUGCCCAGUAGCGGGGGAUAACUGCUCGAAAGAGGGACUAAUAACGCAUACUAUUUGAACGGCCGGUAUCGGAUUAGCUAGUUGGUGGGGUAAAGGCUCACCAAGCAAACGAUCCGUAGCUGGGUUGAGAGGACGAACAGCCACACUGGGACUGAGACACGGCCCAGAAUCCUACGGGAGGCAGCAGUGGGGAAUUUGGGACAAUGGGGGAAACCCGGAUCCAGCCAUCCCGCGUGUAUGAGAAGGCCUUCGGGUUGUAAAGUACUUUUGGCAGAGAAGCGGUAUCUGCAGAAUAAGCACCGGCGAACUACGUGCCAGCAGCCGCGGUAAUAC